AGAGUUUGAUCAUGGCUCAGAUUGAACGCUGGCGGCAGGCCUAACACAUGCAAGUCGAGCGGUAACAGAUCUAGCUUGCUAGAUGCUGACGAGCGGCGGACGGGUGCGUAACACGUAGGAAUCUGCCCAGUAGUGGGGGAUAGCCCGGAGAAAUCCGGAUUAAUACCGCAUACGCCCUAAGAGGGAAAGCAGGGGAUCUUCGGACCUUGCGCUACUGGAUGAGCCUGCGUCGGAUUAGCUUGUUGGUGGGGUAAAGGCCUACCAAGGCAACGAUCCGUAGCUGGUCUGAGAGGAUGAUCAGCCACACUGGGACUGAGACACGGCCCAGACUCCUACGGGAGGCAGCAGUGGGGAAUAUUGCACAAUGGGCGAAAGCCUGAUGCAGCCAUGCCGCGUGUGUGAAGAAGGCUCUAGGGUUGUAAAGCACUUUCAGCGAGGAGGAAAGGUUAUUGGUUAAUACCCAAUAGCUGUGACGUUACUCGCAGAAGAAGCACCGGCUAACUCCGUGCCAGCAGCCGCGGUAAU
rnacentral:rRNA from 1 species